rnacentral:rRNA from 1 species
UACGUAGGGGGCAAGCGUUGUCCGGAUUUAUUGGGCGUAAAGCGCUCGCAGGUGGUUCGUUGCGUCGUGCGUGAAAGACCCCGGCUCAACUGGGGAGAGUCGUGCGAUACGGGCGAACUGGAGGCCAGUAGGGGGAUGCGGAAUUCCGGGUGUAGUGGUGGAAUGCGUAGAGAUCCGGAGGAACACCAGCGGCGAAGGCGGCAUCCUGGACUGGUCCUGACACUCAGGAGCGAAAGCGUGGGGAGCGAUCCGG